rnacentral:rRNA from 1 species
GGACUACGGGGGUAUCUAAUCCCUUUCGCGACCCUAGCCUUCAUCCCUUACUGUCAGAACUGUCCUCGUAAGAUGCCUUCGCUCUUGUUAGUCUGUUCGAGAUUAACACAUUUUACCGCUACUUCGAACAUACUUCUUACGUCUUCCAAUCUCUAGCCAUUGCAGUACUCUUUGCCCUCCCCACCCUUGAGAGAUGAGAUUUCACAAAGAACUUACAAAGCAAGCUACGGAUGUUUUAGACCCAAUAAAAAUGGCUGCGACUUGGACCGCGAGUAUUACCGCGGCGGCUGGCACUCGUCUUACCCAGUCCUUAUUCGUAAAACUUUUUACAUUUCACAAAAGCUUUCCAUUUGGAAAGCACUCCAGUUCAAACUGUCACGCUUUCGCGCAUUGCAGAUGAUUCCCGGCUGCUGCACCCCGUAGG